GACGUAGGGGGCAAGCGUUGUCCGGAAUCAUUGGGCGUAAAGCGCUCGUAGGCGGAUCAGUAAGUCUGUGAAGAAAGACCCGGGCUCAACUCGGGGAACGGCAUGGAUACUAUUGGUCUUGAGGUAAUCAGAGGAUGAUGGAAUUCCCGGUGUAGCGGUGAAAUGCGUAGAUAUUCGCAAGAACACCAGUGGCGAAGGCGGCUCACUGGCCCGAUACUGACGCUGAGGCACGAAAGCGUGGGGAGCAAACAGG
rnacentral:rRNA from 1 species